rnacentral:piRNA from 1 species
GAAAGAACAAGUAUCAAAGGAAAGGAAC